rnacentral:snRNA from 1 species
AUGAAAGAGGGUGUAGACUUGUG